rnacentral:rRNA from 1 species
GAUCAUGGCUCAGGAUGAACGCUAGCGACAGGCCUAACACAUGCAAGUCGAGGGGCAGCGGAGAGGUAGCAAUACCUUUGCCGGCGACCGGCGCACGGGUGAGUAACACGUAUGCAAUCCACCUGUAACAGGGGGAUAACCCGGAGAAAUCCGGACUAAUACCCCAUAAUAUGGGCGCUCCGCAUGGAGAGCCCAUUAAACGAGAGCAAUUUUGGUUACAGACGAGGCAUGCGCUCCA